AAUCAACGCUGGCGGCGCGCCUAACACAUGCAAGUCGCACGAGGAAGCGGGGCAACCCGCAAGUACAGUGGCGUACGGGUGAGUAACACGUGGAUGAUCUACCUUCUAGUGGGGAAUAACCCUGGGAAACCGGGGCUAAUACCGCAUAAGCUCGAGAGAGGAAAGCAGCAAUGCGCUGGAAGAGGAGUCCGCGGCCGAUUAGCUAGUUGGGAGGGUAAAAGCCUACCAUGGCAAAGAUCGGUAGCCGGCCUGAGAGGGCACACGGCCACACUGGCACUGAAACACGGGCCAGACUCCUACGGGAGGCAGCAGUGGGGAAUCUUGCACAAUGGGGGAAACCCUGAUGCAGCGACGCCGCGUGAGCGAUGAAGCCCUUCGGGGUGUAAAGCUCUUUCGUCAGGGGAGAUGAUGACGGUACCUGGAGAAGCAGCUGCGGCUAACUACGUGCCAGCAGCCGCGGUAAUACGUAGGCAGCAAGCGUUGUUCGGU
rnacentral:rRNA from 1 species